rnacentral:rRNA from 1 species
GACAACCUGGUUGAUCCUGCCAGUAGUCAUAUGCUUGUCUCAAAGAUUAAGCCAUGCAUGUCUCAGUACAAGCCAAAAUAAGGUGAAACCGCGAAAGGCUCAUUAAAUCAGUUAUGGUUCCUUAGAUCGUACCAACAUUUACUUGGAUAACUGUGGUAAUUCUAGAGCUAAUACAUGCAAACAGAGCUUCGACCGGAGACGGAAGAGGCGCUUUUAUUAGAUCAAAACCAAUCGGCGGCGGGUUCGCUUGCGGGCUCGUCGUCGUUUUCACUGACGAAUCUGAAUAACUUUCUGCUGAUCGCACGGUCUCGCACCGGCGACGCAUCUUUCAAAUGUCUGCCUUAUCAACUGUCGAUGGUAGGUUCUGUGCCUACCAUGGUUGUAACGGGUAACGGGGAAUCAGGGUUCGAUUCCGGAGAGGGAGCCUGAGAAACGGCUACCACAUCCAAGGAAGGCAGCAGGCGCGCAAAUUACCCACUCCCGGCACGGGGAGGUAGUGACGAAAAAUAACGAUACGGGACUCAUCCGAGGCCCCGUAAUCGGAAUGAGAACAAUUUAAAUCCUUUAACGAGGAUCAAUUGGAGGGCAAGUCUGGUGCCAGCAGCCGCGGUAAUUCCAGCUCCAAUAGCGUAUAUUAAAGUUGUUGCGGUUAAAAAGCUCGUAGUCGAAUCUGUGUCCCGCGCCGCCGGUUCGUCGCUCGCGGCGUUUAACUGGCGUGUCCGCGGGACGUCCUGCCGGUGGGCUUAGCCUUUUUAUUAAGGCGGCCCAAUCUUAAUCCCGCCGCGGUGCUCUUCACCGAGUGUCGAGGCGGGCCGGCACGUUUACUUUGAACAAAUUAGAGUGCUUAAAGCAGGCUAAAACUUCGCCUGAAUACUUCGUGCAUGGAAUAAUGGAAUAGGACCUCGGUUCUAUUUUGUUGGUUUUCGGAACCCCGAGGUAAUGAUUAAUAGGAACGGAUGGGGGCAUUCGUAUUGCGACGUUAGAGGUGAAAUUCUUGGAUCGUCGCAAGACGGACAGAAGCGAAAGCAUUUGCCAAAAACGCUUUCAUCGAUCAAGAACGAAAGUUAGAGGUUCGAAGGCGAUCAGAUACCGCCCUAGUUCUAACCAUAAACUAUGCCAGCUAGCGAUCCGCCGAAGUUACUUCUAUGACUCGGCGGGCAGCUUCCGGGAAACCAAAGCUUUCGGGUUCCGGGGGAAGUAUGGUUGCAAAGCUGAAACUUAAAGGAAUUGACGGAAGGGCACCACCAGGAGUGGAGCCUGCGGCUUAAUUUGACUCAACACGGGAAACCUCACCAGGCCCGGACACCGGAAGGAUUGACAGAUUGAGAGCUCUUUCUUGAUUCGGUGGGUGGUGGUGCAUGGCCGUUCUUAGUUGGUGGAGCGAUUUGUCUGGUUAAUUCCGAUAACGAACGAGACUCA